rnacentral:rRNA from 1 species
CCUACGGGAGGCUGCAGUGGGGAAUUUUGCGCAAUGCUCGUAAGAGUGACGCAGCGACGCCGCGUGAAUGACGAAGGCCUUCGGGUCGUAAAGUUCUUUCGACAGGGAAGAAAAUGCCUAUAAGUAACUGUGUAUGUAUUGACGGUACCUGUAUAAGCAGCCCCGGCUAACUCCGUGCCAGCAGCCGCGGUAAUACGGGGGGGGCGGGCGUUGUUCGGAGUGACGGGGCGAAAGGAGCACGUAGGCGGUGUUGUAAGUCAUUAGUAAAAGAGUAGAGUUAAACUUUGGUAAGGCUAGUGAUAGUAUAUACUAGAGUAUCAGAGAGGAUUGCAGAAUUCCUGGUGUAGCGGUGAAAUGCGUAGAUAUCAGGAGGAAUACCGUUAGCGAAGGCGGCAAUCUGGCUGGAAACUGACGCUGAGGUGCGAAAGCGUGGGUAGCAAACAGGAUUAGAUACCCCGGUAGUC